rnacentral:tRNA from 1 species
GGAGGGCUAGUGAAGUGGCUAAACACGGCAGACUGUAAAUCUGCUCCUUCGGGUUCGGUGGUUCGAAUCCAUCGCCCUCCACCA